GACGAACGCUGGCGGCGUGCCUAAUACAUGCAAGUAGAACGCACAGUUUAUACCGUAGCUUGCUACACCAUAGACUGUGAGUUGCGAACGGGUGAGUAACGCGUAGGUAACCUGCCUGGUAGCGGGGGAUAACUAUUGGAAACGAUAGCUAAUACCGCAUAAUAUUGAUUAUUGCAUGAUAAUUGAUUAAAAGAUGCUAUUGCAUCACUACCAGAUGGACCUGCGUUGUAUUAGCUAGUAGGUGAGGUAACGGCUCACCUAGGCGACGAUACAUAGCCGACCUGAGAGGGUGAUCGGCCACACUGGGACUGAGACACGGCCCAGACUCCUACGGGAGGCAGCAGUAGGGAAUCUUCGGCAAUGGACGAAAGUCUGACCGAGCAACGCCGCGGGAGUGAAGAAGGGUUUCGGAUCGUAAAGCUCUGUUGUAAGAGAAGAACGGGUGUGAGAGUGGAAAGUUCACACUGUGACGGUAUCUUACCAGAAAGAGACGGCUAACUACGUG
rnacentral:rRNA from 1 species